rnacentral:rRNA from 1 species
GAUGAACGCUGGCGGCGUGCCUAAUACAUGCAAGUCGAACGAGGUGCCUUUGUAGCAAUACGAAGGUAUCCUAGUGGCGAACGGGUGAGUAACGCGUUGGUGACCUACCCCAAAGUGUGGGAUAACAGAUCGAAAGAUCUGCUAAUACCGCAUGUGGUCUUCGGAUUUAGAAACUGAUGACUAAAGGAGCAAUUCGCUUUGGGAGGGACCUGCGUCCCAUCAGCUAGUUGGUGAGGUAAUGGCUCACCAAGGCUACGACGGGUAGGGGACCUGAGAGGGUGGCCCCCCCACAAUGGAACUGAAACACGGUCCAUACACCUACGGGUGGCAGCAGUAGGGAAUAUUGCACAAUGGGCGAAAGCCUGAUGCAGCAACGCCGCGUGUGCGAUGAAGGCCUUCGGGUCGUAAAGCACUUUUCUGAGGGAUGAGCAAGGACAGUACCUCAGGAAUAAGUCUCGGCUAACUACGUGCCAGCAGCCGCGGU